AGAGUUUGAUCCUGGCUCAGGACGAACGCUGGCGGCGCGCUUAAUACAUGCAAGUCGAGCGAGAACCAGGGCUUCGGCCCUGGGGACAGCGGCGAACGGGUGAGUAACACGUGGGUAAUCAACCCUCGACACUGGGAUAGCCCGGGGAAACCCGGAUUAAUACCGGAUACCCCGUCCGGCCUUCGGGCCGGCCGGAAAAGGUAGCUUCGGCCUCCGGUCGGGGACGAGCCCGCGGCGGAUUAGCUUGUUGGUGUGGGUAAUGGCCCGCCAAGGCGACGAUCCGUAGCUGGUCUGAGAGGACGAUCAGCCACACUGGGACUGAGACACGGCCCAGACUCCUACGGGAGGCAGCAGUAGGGAACCUUGCGCAAUGGGCGAAAGCCUGACGCAGCGACGCCGCGUGAGGGAAGAAGGCCUUCGGGUUGUAAACCUCUUUCAGGAGGGACGAAGCCACUCGGGUUAAUAGCCCAGAGGGUGACGGUACCUCCAGAAGAAGCCCCGGCUAACUACGUGCCAGCAGCCGCGGUAAUACGUAGGGGGCAAGCGUUGUCCGGAUUUAUUGGGCGUAAAGAGCGUGUAGGCGGCCAAACAGGUCCACUGUGAAAACUCGAGGCUCAACCUCGAGAGGUCGGUGGAAACCGUAUGGCUAGAGUCCGGAAGAGGAGAGUGGAAUUCCCGGUGUAGCGGUGAAAUGCGCAGAUAUCGGGAAGAACACCCGUGGCGAAGGCGGCUCUCUGGGACGGUACUGACGCUGAGACGCGAAAGCGUGGGGAGCGAACAGGAUUAGAUACCCUAGUAGUCC
rnacentral:rRNA from 1 species